GAUGAACGCUGGCGGCGUGCCUAAUACAUGCAAGUCGAGCGAACGGACGAGAAGCUUGCUUCUCUGAUGUUAGCGGCGGACGGGUGAGUAACACGUGGAUAACCUACCUAUAAGACUGGGAUAACUUCGGGAAACCGUAGCUAAUACCGGAUAAUAUUUUGAACCGCAUGGUUCAAAAGUGAAAGACGGUCUUGCUGUCACUUAUAGAUGGAUCCGCGCUGCAUUAGCUAGUUGGUAAGGUAACGGCUUACCAAGGCAACGAUGCAUAGCCGACCUGAGAGGGUGAUCGGCCACACUGGACCGGAGACACGGUCCAGACUCCUACGGGAGGCAGCAGUAGGGAAUCUUCCGCAAUGGCGAAAGCCUGACGGAGCAACGCCGCGUGAGUGAUGAAGGUCUUCGGAUCGUAAAACUCUGUUAUUAGGGAAGAACAUAUGUGUAAGUAACUGUGCACAUCUUGACGGUACCUAAUCAGAAAGCCACGGCUAACUACGUG
rnacentral:rRNA from 1 species